rnacentral:rRNA from 1 species
AUUGAACGCUGGCGACAUGCCUUACACAUGCAAGUCGAACGGCAGCACGGGUGCUUGCACCUGGUGGCGAGUGGCGAACGGGUGAGUAAUACAUCGGAACAUGUCCUGUAGUGGGGGAUAGCCCGGCGAAAGCCGGAUUAAUACCGCAUACGAUCUACGGAUGAAAGCGGGGGACCUUCGGGCCUCGCGCUAUAGGGUUGGCCGAUGGCUGAUUAGCUAGUUGGUGGGGUAAAGGCCUACCAAGGCGACGAUCAGUAGCUGGUCUGAGAGGACGACCAGUCACACUGGAACUGAGACACGGCCCAGACUCCUACGGGAGGCAGCAGUGGGGAAUUUUGGACAAUGGGCGAAAGCCUGAUCCAGCAAUGCCGCGUGUGUGAAGAAGGCCUUCGGGUUGUAAAGCACUUUUGUCCGGAAAGAAAUCCUUGGCCCUAAUACGGUCGGGGGAUGACGGUACCGGAAGAAUAAGCACCGGCUAACUACGUG